UACGAAGGGUGCAAACGUUGCUCGGAAUUAUUGGGCGUAAAGCGCACGUAGGCGGCUUUGCAAGUCCGAUGUGAAAUCUUAUGGCUUAACCAUAAAAGUGCAUCGGAAACUGCAGAGCUUGAGUACUUAAGAGGAUCGCGGAAUUCCCGGUGUAGAGGUGAAAUUCGUAGAUAUCGGGAGGAACACCAGUGGCGAAGGCGGCGAUCUGGGAAGAGUACUGACGCUGAGGUGCGAAAGCGUGGGGAGCAAACAGG
rnacentral:rRNA from 1 species